GACGAACCGUGCGAACGUUAUUCGGAAUCACUGGGCUUAAAGGGCGCGUAGGCGGGCUGUCAAGUCUGGGGUGAAAUCCCGCGGCUCAACCGUGGAACUGCCUCAGAUACUGACGGCCUCGAGGGAGGUAGGGGCAUGCGGAACUGUAGGUGGAGCGGUGAAAUGCGUUGAUAUCUACAGGAACUCCGGUGGCGAAAGCGGCGUGCUGGACCUCUUCUGACGCUGAGGCGCGAAAGCUAGGGGAGCAAACGGG
rnacentral:rRNA from 1 species